CUGGGAAACUGCCUGAUGGAGGGGGAUAACUACUGGAAACGGUAGCUAAUACCGCAUGACCUCGCAAGAGCAAAGUGGGGGACCUUCGGGCCUCACGCCAUCGGAUGUGCCCAGAUGGGAUUAGCUAGUAGGUGGGGUAAUGGCUCACCUAGGCGACGAUCCCUAGCUGGUCUGAGAGGAUGACCAGCCACACUGGAACUGAGACACGGUCCAGACUCCUACGGGAGGCAGCAGUGGGGAAUAUUGCACAAUGGGC
rnacentral:rRNA from 1 species